UUCCUUCCGUCGAUGAGGUAUAACACCCUCAUUGACGGAAGGGAUUCCUUCCGUCGAUGAGGUAAAGCACCCUCAUUGACGGAAGGGAUUCCUUCCGUCGAUGAGGUAAAACACCCUCAUCGACCGGAAGGGA
rnacentral:miRNA from 1 species